ensembl:lncRNA
GCACAGAGGAGGCGCCCCGCCGCUCGGGGGCCCUCAAGACCCGAGCCCACACGGACCAGACCAACGCAGAGGUACCUCACCGCCUCAGCGGGCAACCUGGAAGUGUACUGGGGCACUACCUGAUCUCCGUUGUCGUUUGUUGUUGUUGUUGUUGUUGUUGUCUUCACCUGCAGUCCCCGACGACGAAUCCACGCACGGAUUCUGACCUCCGCCGUGAUGCAGUUGUUCCUCGUUGGAAGUCAGAGAUGAUCAGUGGCGGUUUUAAAUGCAGUUCUGUCUCUGUGGGACGUUCAAAUUUAAGCUAUAACAUAGUAAAUGCUCAACAGUCAUACAUGACGCUUUCAUUAUUUCACAUGCAUUUAUAUACUGAUACUGUAGCCUGAUAAAUAAACAAUGCUGGAGACAGUUUUGUCUCUUAUAUCCAUGUGUAUGUGUCUGCCUUAUUCAAUCUUUGUAAUGGCACUUCUAUAUCGUGCAUAAAGAAAACCUUAGAUUGAAGAUGUGUGACACACGAUGCAGAUAAAAGGUAACAAUUAAUUUUGCCUGAAUGGUGCAUCUUGUUUUUCUUGCACUCCUACAGGUAGUCAGAAAGAGUUUCACAUUAAAAACAUUUCUCCUUUAAUCAUUUUGGGAUGUCAAAAAGAUUUUUUUUUAAUGUUGAAUAAUUAAAUUGUGGAUCCAUAGUUGGUAAGCACUGUUGGAAUAAGCGGAGUGGAUCAGGGUGAGUGUUUAAUACCGCGAAUCUCCUAAAUCUGCUAAAUCCCACUGCACAUAUGUUUAUGUUUGUUGAUCCUGUGGUUUAAAAGAGAAUAAAUAAAUAAAAGAAAUAGAAGCUGCCAAAUUAAAUUAACAUAUACUGCGUGUGCCUUCUAAUUCACACAAACUAUAUGGAAAAGCAUAUAUAUAUACCAUAUUUUACAGAUCAAUUUAUGGAUGUUUUGUCAUGAAAUUUAGUUUUGGGAAAUUACAACUUUUAUUGAAUGUUUUGUCAUUUUAAUUUAACCACGUUAAAAUGUACUUUUACAUCUGUUGCAAAGUGAAUGUCUGGGGAAUAAAAGUCUACAUAAACACUCAAAGAAACAGAUUUUAAAAAUCCUCACACAGAACACCAAACUACUUUGAGAAAUCACAUACUUUUUUUUUUUGUUGAACCUCCUCGUUGUUUCAUCUCGAGCAGCGAAGGUAGCGGCAGCUUGCAGUGCACAUCCUCUGUGUUUGCAAACAGUUAAUUACCCAUCAUGCAUCCAGUGUUGCCAAUCACACCAGCCAAAAGGUCUCUCAAGGCUGAUUAACAUAUUACUGCUGGACAUAUUCCCCUUUUUUCUCACAGAAAUAAGCUUGUUUUGUGGUAACUGUGGUUGGAUUCAUUCCAGUAAUGAAGUGUGUUCUCUUGAUAAUAAGUGAAGCUCAACAUUUAACUUUAGUUGCAUUUGUCAAAAGCAAAUUUCCUCUAUUGUUGGGAGAGAUGCUGUUAAGUAUUUUGGCAUUUUAUUGUCGGCACAGCUCGUAUAAAUUCUAUCAGCAGGAUAAUACUGUAGUUAGCCAUAAUUACGUGUAUACUAAUGGUGCCCAUCAUGUUUUUGGAAGGAGAAUUAGAUGUCUGAUUUACCAACGUAUGAAAAGUCUGUUAUAUACUAUAUAUUAUUCAUAUAUUAAUAUAUUUUUCAUUAGAGUAAAAGCAAAUCAGACAAAAAGCAUCUACAUUGCUUGCGUUUAUGCGUAAAUACUGUGUGUUACUCUGAGAAAAAUAUUUGUGUUGUAUUUGUAUUCCUCACAUCAAAGAGAUUCUGAUGGAGUUGUUCGCUCGGAAAAUGCAUCUUUAUUUAUGUACCGCGUGGCAGCUUAUAAACGGUUUUCUUUCUCUCUCUCUUAUUGUACUUGUAGAAAAGGAGCUUCGGUACCCCCUCGCCCCUUAGCGCACCAAUUAUUUGACACAAUAGGACAACGCCAUUGAUGAAUGCAAGUAAAAUCUUCAUAUGCAGGAAUCGCGCUCUUAAAUCCUUGACUCUUAAAAGCGUCGUGGUCAUGUUGUGUUCACCGAAACCCAGGUUAAGGUAAUGCUGCUGCAAUUGUUGUCAGUGAAGUCUGUGCAUAUAUGUAAAGAAAUACACUAUGUCUGCUUUCUGAGAGGAGUUUUUUUUAAAAAUUCUAAAUGAAUUCCUGUCACGAAUCACAAUGAAGAAAGCGGAGGAAGAGGACAGCGGCGUAAUGAAGAGUGAGUCACAUUGGCCUGUGACUCUGCACUCAUCUAAAAUCAAUAUCGCCCUCCGGAGACGUCUCAACUAAUACAACGAACAGCUCAACAAGCAUUUCAUCAGGUUGAAAGUUUAUGAAUCAAUAACCAAAGUCUCGGCAUGCAGAGCCUCAUUUUUUUAAAGACCCCAGUGGGAUCAGGACUGUUCCCGUGAACAAGCUGGACACCCGUGAUUUACGCAGGCAGGCUGCUUCUCGUUUACCACCGUAGGUAUUCGAACAUCGAGCGGCAGUCGAGCAGGAGCCGAGCGUCUCCCGCAUCGUGGGAACCUCAGCGAGUCGGCUGCGAGGGGCCGCCCCUCCCGCCGCCCUUCCAAAACAAACAUUCGAGCGAGUUUUUCAGAAAUGGACGCCGUGGUCAUUAAUCAGGCGUCCCGGGCAGGUCGUGAUCUCUCUGAAUACAGUAUCCACCAGAAAGGCCAGGUGACCCGCGGUAACAACGGCACCAACGCCGUCCACCUGUCCGUCACUGCGCCAUCUCGCGGGGAGAGGAGAGCCGAGCCGCAACCGGCUGGUAGAUGUUAGUCAAAGGUCAACGGCACGCUCGCCGGCGGGGGUAAUGAUUUGAGUCGUAUUCUGACGCUUUCGCCACAGCCAGCGGGGUUUGACGCACUGAUUGGAGCGUCGAUCGGUAGAGGAGACGGUCUGUGUUUAUGCAACGGCUGCCUACGCAAACCCCGGUGAUCGGCCUGCACGCCCACAUGGCGACCGUAUAACGAAGCCACAAAAGGAAUCAUGGAUGGACAAAAUCCCACUGGAGCCCUUAUUAAGAACGCGUCCCCUCGUAAAGAGAGUUGGAUGUGAGCUGUUUUCAUUCUUCGUCGCGGGAUCCCGACAAGUCGUUUCGUUUGUCAGCUCGUGAGCCGCUAAUUGAAAAAGUCAGACAACAAAUUUAACCUUUUGACCUCCGUGUUUUUUUAAAGCUUUCACCGCCAAAACAAAAAAGCCAAGAGCAGAUGCACGGGACAAAUGCAGAGAAAGUGGCUUCCUGUUGACCUCUGCUUUGUGACCGAGGAGCAAAUGGGAACGCUCCCUUUCUGGGUUGGUCUUGUAUGCAGGACCCUCCACAUCUCUCAAUGAGGAGAAGCCCGUUGGGGGGGGAUCUCAUAGAAGAGACUUUCUCAAACAGGAAGCAGGAGGCCUUUUUGUGAGAGAAAUAAAAGAAGAAACAGUGUCAUCUUCUGUGUGGGGGAGGUUCGUGUGCAUUUCUUUGGCAUGUGCAGUCCUUUGCAGCUUCACUGAGGCUUUAUUAUAUGCAUCGACAUUCAUUAAAUGUUACCAAUAGAUGAAUUCCUUUAUUAUUGAUAUAAAUGACAAUGUAUUGUGUAACAAUCACUGGGUUCAAGAUUAUUUGCCAAGUUAUUCAAGGCACUUUAAUAUAAUCAAGCCCAAGCUUUAGUUGCAAAAGUUGCACGCACCUUAUUGC